rnacentral:sRNA from 1 species
GAAUGAUGCUUAACUCCUACAUAUUAAGUUGAUGUCAGGAUUUAUGUUAGGAUUUCGAAUCAAACUGGCAAAUAAUUUUAAUGCAUAGGACAAUAGGCUAAAUCGAUUCUGAUGUAAAUCAAAAGGAAGCCUGUCGUAGAGGAGGUUAUAAAUAGUGAGUGUUUUAUUGAGAAAGGGCACACAAAAGACGAGCACCUAACAGAAAGGCGAGUUGUUUUUUAGGUUUGAAAUCAAAAGAACAAAACUGAAAUGAGAACUUUGGUAUUGACGACCACAAUUUUUAUCCUUCUCUCCUGUAUGAUACAACCAAUACAGGGAAGAGGAUACCCAAGAUGCCAAAUGGAUUACCAAUCCUGUGGUCGUAGACCUUGCUGCGAAAAUUUGAAAUGCACGUGAGUUCAAACGUUUUCUACAGUGUUUUCAUU